GAUGAAGAACGCAGCGAAAUGCGAUAAGUAAUGUGAAUUGCAGAAUUCAGUGAAUCAUCGAAUCUUUGAACGCACAUUGCGCCCCCUGGUAUUCCGGGGGGCAUGCCUGUUCGAGCGUCAUUUCAACCCUCAAGCUCUGCUUGGUAUUGAGUCCAUGUCAGCAAUGGCUGGCUCCAAAAUCAGUGGCGGCGCCGCUGGGUCCUGAACGUAGUAAUAUCUCUCGUUACAGGUGCUCGGCGUGCUUCUGCCAAAACCCCAAUUUUUCUAUGGUUGACCUCGGAUCAGGUAGGGAUACCCGCUGAACUUAAGCAUAUCAAUAAGCGGAGGA
rnacentral:misc_RNA from 1 species